GUGCGAUCAGAUCGAUCUAAGAUGGCGACUGUCGAACCGGAAACCACCCCUACUCCUAAUCCCCCGACUACAGAAGAGGAGAAAACGGAAUCUAAUCAGGAGGUUGCUAACCCAGAACACUAUAUUAAACAUCCCCUACAGAACAGGUGAAGUUACCAAGCAUUAAUUAUAGGAUUAUGAAAUAUAUAUUCAAUUUGGAAGGCUCUUCAGACAACAUUUGUGUUGAUGAGAAAAUGAAAUUUCCCUUUGACUUUCCUUUGGUAUUGUAAUUCAGAGAAUAUUCAGUUUAAUUCUUCUAAAGGAGAAUUAUCUUGGGAUAAUAACUUUUAAGUGUAACUUUAAUGUUCCACGAGUUUAUCUUCAAGGCAUUAGAGAAAAUAUUAUACAGGCGUACCUCAUUUACUGUGCUUCACAAAUCAUGCCUUUUCUAUAAAUUGAAGGUUUGUGGAAAUCCUUUGUCAAGCAGUUCUGUUGAUGCCAUGUUUCCAAUGGCAUGUGCUCACUUGGUGUCUCUGUGUCACAUUUCGGUAAUUCUCCCGAUAUUUCAAACUUUUAUUGUAUCUGUUAUGAUCUGUGAUCAGUGAUCU
rnacentral:sRNA from 1 species